rnacentral:tRNA from 1 species
UCUAAUAUGGCAGAAUAGUGCAAUGAAUUUAAGAUUCAAACAUAAAGAUUAAUCUUUUAUUAGAA